rnacentral:rRNA from 1 species
GUGAGGAAUAUUGGUCAAUGGGCGGGAGCCUGAACCAGCCAAGUCGCGUGAAGGAAGAAGGAUCUAUGGUUCGUAAACUUCUUUUGCAGGGGAAUAAAGUGCAGGACGUGUCCUGUUUUGUAUGUACCCUGAGAAUAAGGAUCGGCUAACUCCGUGCCAGCAGCCGCGGUAAUACGGAGGAUCCGAGCGUUAUCCGGAUGUAUUGGGUUUAAAGGGUGCGGAGGUGGUUUGAUAAGUCAGCGGUGAAAGUUUGCAGCUUAACUGUAAAAAUGCCGUUGAAACUGUCGGACUUGAGUGUAAAUGAGGUAGGCGGAAUGCGUGGUGUAGCGGUGAAAUGCAUAGAUAUCACGCAGAACUCCGAUUGCGAAGGCAGCUUACUAAGCUACAACUGACACUGAAGCACGAAAGCGUGGGGAUCAAACAGGAUUAGAAACCCCAGUAGUCC